rnacentral:rRNA from 1 species
UCUCCUACGGGGCGCAGCAGUAGGGAAUUUUCGUCAAUGGGCGCAAGCCUGAACGAGCAAUGCCGCGUGAGUGAGGAAGGUCUUCGGAUCGUAAAGCUCUGUUGCAGGUCAGAAAAGAAGGAAAGAGGAAAUGCUUUUCUUUUGAUAGUAACCUGCCAGAAAGUCACGGCUAACUACGUGCCAGCAGCCGCGGUAAUACGGAGGAUGCGAGCGUUAUCCGGAUUUAUUGGGUUUAAAGGGUGCGUAGGCGGACUGUCAAGUCAGCGGUAAAAUACGGGGGCUCAACCUCCGCCCGCCGUUGAAAC